CACGAAGUCGCGGGGCACAAGCCGUUAUAGGGGGACAGGGUAGUAACGGUGUGUGGGGUGGAUCGCCUAGCGAUUCACGGCUGUAUCCCUCCUCCACGGGCCUCCAGAUCCCGGGCCCGCCUAGUGCAAUUGCAGCGCGGGGGUAACUCGAGCGAUCAUUAACGAUUCACGGGUUUGGGGAGGGGGCAACCCCCCCCCCCGCCGCCUGGAUUAUUUUUCUCCGGCGGAGGGAUACGACGGAGUUCAUAGACGGGAGACGAUAGAGCCAAGAGACUCCAAUUAAGGAUCAGGAACCCACGGUGCUAAGUGCAGUGCAGACAGAUACUGAAAAAGACAGUUCCUGGCCCAGGGAAAUAGGUUCUUGGAGGACAACAAUGAUUGCAUCUGCCCAGGGGACCAGCUGGAGGAACUAUGAUGAUAAAUCUGAGGAACUGUCCCAGAUUGAGGAGUCAGUAGAGGUGGUUUUGGAACAAAUUGAUAAACAGUGAGGAGUUACCAGGACCAGUUCACCCAAGAGUUUGGAAGGAACUCAAAUAUGAAAUUGCAGACCUACUAACUGUGCAUCGCUACCCCUUGUGGGGAAAGAAUUCAUGUUCUCCCUGGGAAAUCAGGACUAGGAGGUUGAGAUACCGAGGCACAAGGGCUGUCUGGGCUGGAAUCAACACCUUUGAAUGGGAGCCACGCUGAGUGAACUGUUAACUCCUAGAAUAAGCUACUCCCCCAACCACACUUCUCUGUGGGGAAGCACAGCAAAAAGCCCCAACCUGGAGAACAAAGUCAAGAGGUGGCUGAGUGUUAAGGUUACUGCUGGGAUUGGGAACACACACAGGGGACAAGAAGAGACUACUUGGAUUCAGCAGAACAUGAAUCUCAGGCCACAUGGCUUCCACCGAUAUGAGCUCUCUCUCAAGAUCACCUCUCUCCCGCUAACCUAAAGACUUCCAGAUGUA